GAGUGUUGGGUUAAGUCCCAUAACGAGCGCAACCCCUACCUUUAGUUGCCAUCAGGUAAUGCUGGGGACUCUAAAGGAACUGCCUACGCAAGUAGUGAGGAAGGCGGGGAUGACGUCAAAUCAGCACGGCCCUUACGUCCAGGGCUACACACGUGCUACAAUGGCCGAUACAGAGGGCAGCUACCUGGUGACAGGAUGCAAAUCUCCAAAGUCGGUCUCAGUUCGGAUCGGAGUCUGCAACCCGACUCCGUGAAGUUGGAUUCGCUAGUAAUCGCGCAUCAGCCAUGGCGCGGUGAAUACGUUCCCGGGCCUU
rnacentral:rRNA from 1 species